rnacentral:misc_RNA from 1 species
AACCUAGCACACCUGCGGUGUGUACCUGCGGAGGGAUCAUUAUUGAUAAAGGAUGUGCUGGUAUUGAAGUUUGAUUCAAUGCAUUAUUGUGCACUCCACAUUCUCAACUUAUCCCAUGUGCACCCUAUGGCAAGGCGGAAGUCUUGUCUGUUUUUUUUUAUAAACAUACACUAAUGUGAUGUUUUUAAAUUUGUAACAAAUAAAACAACUUUUAACAACGGAUCUCAGAUCGGAAGAGCA